UCUGCUGUGGAAUCGCAAGGCUCAACGUUGCGCGUGCAGUGGGUACGGGCGGACUAGAGUGCAGUAGGGGAGUCUGGAAUUCCUGGUGUAGCGGUGAAAUGCGCAGAUAUCAGGAGGAACACCGGUGGCGAAGGCGGGACUCUGGGCUGUUACUGACGCUGAGGAGCGAAAGCAUGGGGAGCGAACAGGAUUAGAUACCCUGGUAGUCCAUGCCGUAAACGUUGGGCACUAGGUGUGGGGCUCAUUCCACGAGUUCCGCGCCGCAGCUAACGCAUUAAGUGCCCCGCCUGGGGAGUACGGCCGCAAGGCUAAAACUCAAAGGAAUUGACGGGGGCCCGCACAAGCGGCGGAGCAUGCGGAUUAAUUCGAUGCAACGCGAAGAACCUUACCAAGGCUUGACAUACACCGGAAUGGGCCAGAGAUGGUUCAGCCCUUUGGGCUGGUGUACAGGUGGUGCAUGGUUGUCGUCAGCUCGUGUCGUGAGAUGUUGGGUUAAGUCCCGCAACGAGCGCAACCCUCGUUCUAUGUUGCCAGCACGUGAUGGUGGGAACUCAUAGGAGACUGCCGGGGUCAACUCGGAGGAAGGUGGGGAUGACGUCAAAUCAUCAUGCCCUUUAUGUCUUGGGCUUCACGCAUGCUACAAUGGUUGGUACAAAGGGUGGCGAGACCGCGAGGUGGAGCGAAUCCCAGAAAGCCGAUCUCAGUUCGGAUCGUAGUCUGCAA
rnacentral:rRNA from 1 species